rnacentral:misc_RNA from 1 species
UGUGUCCAUUACUGUUUGCUGGUUCGGGAUCGGCAAGCGUGGGUGCCAUGAUGCGCAUGCGCGACCAAGAUGGCGACGUGAAAGAAGGAGCUGCAGACCCUCGCUGUUUCGCGGUAAUUUCUCCUCCGAGCCAGGAGCAAGAUGGAGGACGGACUUCUCUCAUUAAAGUGGAACAACCACAAGUCCACUUUUUUUCACAUCUUGAGUGAAGUUCGAGGAAAACAUACGUACACUGAUGCAACAUUAGCAUGUGAAGGAAAAUUUUUCCCAGUGCACAAACUUGUGAUGUCAACAUGUAGUGAUUACUUUGCAGAAAUAUUUGAAAAAACUCCUUGUAAAAAUCCAGUAGUUGUGCUCAAAGACAUAAAAAAGUCAGAUUUAGAGGCCUUGUUAGACUAUAUGUACAUAGGUGAAGUAGAUGUGAGGCAAAGUGAGCUAGCGGGACUCAUUAAAGCUGCCGAGUGUUUAAGAAUUAAAGGUCUCGCUGUACCAGAUGAGGAUCCAACCAAAGCCCAGAAAAAAGGGCCUAGUAGUGUACCUGAAAGAAGGGAGGACAGUCCCCCCGCGAAACGAAAAAGACGGGAAUCUGGAGGAGACCGUGGAAGGGCCCCUUCACCCAUUAUCCCACGGGGGUCCUCCCAAUCGUCUUCCUCCCACCCCCCUUCCACAUCGUCAGUGCCUAGUCAAGCACCCUCUCAACUGUCAAGUGUACCUGAGUCACAUGUGCCAUCACAGUCUAUGCCCCCACCACCUAGUAUAUCCCAGGAAACGCGACAAAUAGAUAGUGGGCGUGGUAGACAAGAUAGCCACCCACCACAAUCACAACCACACCCAUCUCAAAUAUCUUCUUUAAAGCCGUCUCCGGAGUCUCUUCGAUCGCCCCCUAGUGGUGGACCCGAGUCCUCUCACCCAUCUAUAACAUCGCCCAGAUCGUCUGAUCCAUCCCUCCUUCCAGUUCAAAUGAUUAAGGUUGAAGUAGAUGAUGGAGAUAACUCUGGAGUAAGAGAUUCUCACGGAGAUAGAGAAGAUGGCAGUGAGAUGGAUGGGGACGAAGAGGAAACUAGUAAUGAUUUCUCUGAAUACCAAAGUCAUGGUGGGGAAAUAGAAAAGGAGGAGCAUGAUCAGAUGGACUCCUAUGGUGCUGACCAAAUACCUGGGCCUUCAGGCCUACAAGGGGCUCCUCCAGUGUUAAGCUGGGGAGAAGAGGGGGAAGCUGGUUUCCCCCACAACCUCUUUGGUGGUGAUGAUCCAGCAUCUCAACAAGCGCAGAGUGGUGGUGUUGGCAGCGGUGAUGGUACCCUAGGUGAUGUUGGCAGGCAUACCUCAGGUGUUCGAUGGAGUAUGGUACUUCAAGAAGAGGCAGCUAAGAAUGACUCGGCAACUACCGAAAAGCCAUACCGCUGUCCACUAUGUACCUACCGUGCCCGCAGGAAGGACAGUCUGAUCCGCCACUUGAGGAUGCACACUGGGGAGAGACCGUACCGUUGCCCCAAGUGCCCUUAUGCUGCUAUCCAGAAGUCUGAUCUGGAUAGGCACCUCACAUCACGGCACACACAUCAACACCAACUGGUUGUAGCCCAACACCUUACUACUGCUUUGAACUUUCCACCUCAAGCUUACCUAACCAGCCGUUCUCCUCCACUACCUCAAGCACCGCGUCGCUAGGCAGUGAUGACCUGUGGCAGACAAAAAACACUUGAUAUUUAACCAAGUUGUAUUGCUCUGUGACAUGCCUGAGUGUCGACCGGCCUGCUCUUCCCAACAGCAAGCAUGGCAGAACUUGCAAUCUGAGGAGUCCCAUCCGAGAUCUGGUCAAUCACAGCAGAUGUUUUCCCGAUCCUCAGAGUCACAAAUUCUG